rnacentral:rRNA from 1 species
GAUGAACGCUGGCGGCGUGCUUAACACAUGCAAGUCGAACGAACGACUAUUAACAGAACCUUUCGGGGCGAAGAAUAUAGAAGUUAGUGGCGGACGGGUGCGUAACGCGUGGGUAAUCUGCCUUUGUCAAAGGAAUAACUAUUCGAAAGAAUAGCUAAAACCGUAUAACAUAUUAAUAGGGCAUCCUAGUAAUAUCAAAACGAUAGUGGACAAAGAUGAGCCCGCGUCUGAUUAGCUAGUUGGUGAGAUAAAAGCCCACCAAGGCAACGAUCAGUAGCCGACCUGAGAGGGUGAACGGCCACAUUGGAACUGAGACACGGUCCAAACUCCUACGGGAGGCAGCAGUGGGGAAUAUUGCACAAUGGGGGGAACCCUGAUGCAGCAACGCCGCGUGAGUGAAGAAGGCAUUCGUGUCGUAAAACUCUGUAGUAGGGGAAGAAAGAAAUGACAGUACCCUAAAAGAAAGCCCCGGCUAACUACGUGCCAGCAGCCGCGGUAAUACGUAGGGGGCAAGCGUUAUCCGGAAUAACUGGGCGUAAAGGGUGCGCAGGUGGUUUAACAAGUUAGUGGUGAAAGGCAUAGGCUCAACCAAUGUAAGCCAUUAAAACUGUUUAACUUGAGUGCAGGAGAGGAAAGUGGAAUUCCUAGUGUAGCGGUGAAAUGCGUAGAUAUUAGGAGGAAUACCAGUGGCGAAGGCGACUUUCUGGACUGCAACUGACACUGAGGCACGAAAGCGUGGGGAGCAAACAGG